UAAAAUGCGAGUAUGUAUCUAUGGU
rnacentral:piRNA from 1 species